CUACUGCGCUGGCGCUGGAUUCGACUGGAAGUGGAAGCUUCGUGGCUCCCCAACACACACGCACAUCUGGGCUCUGUGUGUCCGUGCACACAGGAGCGGUCAAGAUACUAGAGCCCGCCCUAUCGUGUAAUCCCAACAGUUUAGGGAUGACUAAGAUGAAACAACCGCCGGCUACAUAACACUCUACUGAUACCCAACGAAAACUAGCUAAUUUCUUGACAGGAUCAAGAACCAAAUCUGAGAUACCCGAUGCAGAGCGCUGGAAACUAUAGCUCUGACCGCAGCUGUCAGCCUUUCCGACCAUUUGCGUGUGUGUUCCGUUCCACUAACGAAAACGUUGCGACCUUGCCGUCGCCGCAUUUUACAUCGAAGCAAUACCCCCUCCACUCCCUGUGGCCAGAACCAAGAAGUCGUAGAGGGUAACACAUAGUUGGCCUUCUUCGCGCCUCGGACCAAUGCACUUGGCGACCAACAUACCUGUUGGCUGAGCCCAUUGUGGCAGUCAGUGCCGGCAGAAUUGCAUCACCGCCAGCGGAACUAGAAGAGGAAAAACCAGCGUUUUGAUUGCGGCUCUCAUUACUCCGCAAGUGGAAUAACCACCACGAUAAGCAGGACACACAGAGGGGCUCACGGACAGGGAGAGCCAGCCAAGCAUUCCAGUGGAGGACCAAGCCUGCAAUUGCCCAAUUGCCAAGUGAUUCGUCUUCGAUGUCGCGGGCCAGUUAAACCACUGCUAGCUGCUGGACUAGAACUAGAUAAUUGCCUUCGCGAUGGCACGUUGCAGAUAAGUAAAUCGCCUUAAGGCGGCACGUACAAGUACACA